CGAAGAGUUGUACAAAGAGAAACCGAACAGCCCUCAUCUUGCACUGAUUUUUCUCAUUCUCCCGAGCGGGUUCAACAGCAUUGGUUUCUUCUAGUACUUCUCCUUCACAUCUGUUCGAGGGUUUUUCCGCUGCUAAAUGUUUCUUGGUUUCAUGUUUUGUUUUUUAGGAGAUCUCAGUGUGGAAAUAUGGUUGACAUAGUUGAUUUUUGGCAGCUCUUCCUUCAUAAAUUGCUGAUUUCUCUCUUCUUGGUUCAAGACAAGGACGUUUAGCUGCUUUCUUCUGCUUUGGAUAGUUUGGCGCAAGAAGUUUCUUUGGUGCCAUUAAUCACGACAUUUGCUUGAAGGGAUUUCUCAGGUCGGCUGAUCUUAGGGUGUUGGGAGUAAGAUGUUCUCUAUUGGGAUGUCACAUGUCUCCCUGCUGAAUGCAACUGCCUAGCACUGCAUGUUGCCUACACUUUGCUACCUUUGGAAGUUUGGCUCGGAUGGGACGCUUUUGGCUGGUGUAGAGGUUGUUGUACCGUCCAUGGCACAUCUUGGGGGUCUAGAGACCAUAUUUUUUUGGGGAUGUUGCCAUUAGCCCACACUGUAUUGCACAUGAGUUGGUUGCUGAGCAAGCAUUGAGGUAUCUACAACGCCAAUAUGGUUUUCAGGUCCAUACUACAAUUUUCAGUCCAUGAUGUCUUGUAAACACAUAGCUCAAUCUGUUGUACAGGCUGCAUUAUCUGUGUCUGGUUGUGUUGCCCGUUUUAGGUCUUCACAUGGACCAGUUGUUCCAUACUGUGAUGACAUUUUCGACUCUGUAGUGCACGUUGUUUUACUUUCUUUGUAGAAGAUCGAAGGCAUGUUGGAAAUCUUCCUCUCUAGGUUGUGUGUGAUUUCUAUGUUUUCUAAGUUUCCCUGUACUUUUUCUAUCUAUUCUAAGUUUCCUCAUGUACUUUCUUUGUGCAAUGCAGUGAGCGCUUUGGUUUUUAUUUGAAGUUCAGUGUGUUGUGUUACAUUGUCACAUUGUGUUAUGUUGUUG